rnacentral:lncRNA from 1 species
AUGUCCCCAAAAUCCCCCCAAUGUCCCCCCAAUGUCCCCAAUGUCCCCUCAAUGUCCCCAAUGUCCCCAAUGUCCCCUCAAUGUCCCCCAAUGUCCCCUCUAAUGUCCCCAAAGUCCCCCCAGUGUCCCCAAAGUCCCCCCAGAGCCCCCCAAUGUCCCCUCAAUGUCCCCUCUAUGUCCCCAAUGUCCCCCCAGACCCCCCCAGUGUCCCCCCCGGUGUCCCCAACGUACCCCAAGACCCCCACAAUGUCCCCUCUAAUGUCCCCAAUGUCCCCCCAGUGUCCCCAAUGUCCCCUCCAUGUCCCCAAUGUCCCCCCAGAGCCCCCCAAUGUCCCCCCGGUGUCCCCCCAGAACCCCCCAGACUCCCCCAAUGUCGCCUCAAUGUCCCCUCAGUGUCCCCAAAGUCCCCCCAGACCCCCCCAAUGUCCCCAAAUGUCCCCAAUGUCCCCCCCAGGUGUCCCCAAUGUCCCCCCAGACCCCCCAAUGUCCCCCCAGUGUCCCCCCAAUGUCGCCUCAAUGUCCCCUCAGUGUCCCCAAAGUCCCCCCAGACCCCCCCAAUGUCCCCUCAAUGUCCCCAAUGUCCCCCCCGUGUCCCCAAUGUCCCCCAAGACCCCCUCAAUGUCCUCCCAAUGUCCCCAAAGUCCCCCCAAAUGUCCCCAAAGUCCCCCCCAAAUGUCCCCAAAGUCCCCCCAGUGUCCCCUCCAUGUCCCUAAAGUCCCCCCAGACCCCCCCAAUGUCCUUCAAUGUCCCCCCAAUGUCCCCAAAAUCCCCCCAAAUGUCCCCAAAGCCCCCCCAGUGUCCCCCUGUCUCCAAAUCUCCCGCCACAUCCCCGCCUCCCCCAUCACCCCCGGACCCCCAAAGUCCCCCAAAUGUCCCCAAAUGUCCCCAAAAUCCCCCCAAAUGUCCCCAAAAUCCCCCCAAAUGUCCCCAAAGCCCCCCCGGUGUCCCCCCAAAUGUCCCCAAAGCCCCCCCAGUGUCCCCCUGUCCCCAAUCUCCCGCCACAUCCCCGCGUCCCCCCUCACCCCCGGACCCCCAAAGUCCCCCCAAUGUCCCCAAAGCCCCCCCAGUGUCCCCCCCAAUGUCCCCAAAUGUCCCCAAAAUCCCCCCAAAUGUCCCCAAAUCCCCCCCGGUGACCCCCCAAAUGUCCCCAAAGCCCCCCCAGUGUCCCCCUGUCCCCAAUCUCCCGCCACAUCCCCGCCUCCCCCAUCACCCCCCGACCCCCAAAGUCCGCCCAGUGUCCCCUUGAUGUCCCCAAUGUCCCCAAAAUCCCCCCAAUGUCCCCAAAAUCCCCCCAAAUGUCCCCAAAGCCCCCCCAAAGUCCCCCCAAAUGUCCCCAAAUCCCCCCAAAUGUCCCCAAAAUCCCCCCAAAUGUCCCCAAAGCCCCCCCGUGUCCCCAAAUCCCCCCGGUGUCCCCCCAAUAUCUCCAAAAUCCCCCCAAAUGUCCCCAAAAUCCCCCCAAAUGUCCCCAAACCCCCCCCAGUGUCCCCCUGUCCCCAAAUCUCCCGCCACAUCCCCGCCUCCCCCAUCACCCCCAGACCCCCAAUGUCCCCAAAUGUCCCAAAUGUCCCCAAAAUCCCCCCAAAUGUCCCCAAAGCCCCCCCAGUGUCCCCCCCAAUGUCCCCAAAUGUCCCCAAAAUCCCCCCAAAUGUCCCCAAACCCCCUCCAUGUCCCCCUGUCCCCAAAUCUCCCGCCACAUCCCCGCCUCCCCCAUCACCCCCCGACCCCCACUGUCCCCAAAUGUCCCAAAUGUCCCCAAAUGUCCCCAAAUGUCCCCAAAAUCCCCCCAAUGUCCCUGAAUGUCCCCAAUGUCCCCCCAGUGUCCCCAAAGUCCCCCCCAAAUGUCCCCAAAGUCCCCUUGAUGUCCCCAAAUGUCCCCAAAAUCCCCCCAAUGUCCCCAAAGUCCCCCCAAUGUCCCCCCAGACCCCCCCAAUGUCUCCCCUUGUGUCCCCAAAGUCCCCCCAGACCCCCCCAAACUCCCCCCAAUGUCCCCUCAAUGUCCCCAAUGUCCCCCCAGACCCCCCCAAUGUCCCCAAUGUCCCCAAAAUCCCCCCGAAUGUCCCCAAAGUCCCCCCAAUGUCCCCAAAAUCCCCCCAAAUGUCCCCAAAAGUCCCCAAAGUCCCCCCAAUGUCCCCAAUGUCACCCCAAUGUCCCCAAUGUCACCCCAGACCCUCCCAAUAUCCCCCCAGACCCCCCAGUGUCCCCAAAGUCCCCCCAAAUGUCCCCAAAGUCCCCCCAAUGUCCCCAAAAUCCCCCCAAAUGUCCCCAAAUGUCCCCAAAGUCCCCCCAAUGUCCCCAAAAUCCCCCCAAAUGUCCCCAAACCCCCCCAUGUCCCCCUGUCCCCAAUCUCCCGCCACAUCCCCACCUCCCCCAUCACCCCCAGACCCCCAAAGUCCCUCCAAUGUCCCCAAAUGUCCCCAAAAUCCCCCAAAAUGUCCCGAAAUGUCCCCAAAUGUCCCCAAAUCCCCCCCGUGUCCCCCCCCCCACCGUUCAUGUCGCCGCCGCCGCCGCGUGCCCGCCUGGCCCCGCCCCCCCCGCGCCGCCGCGCACUUGGUACAGUCCGGGGCGUGGCUAAAGGGGCGUGGCCACUCCCAAACCACGCCCCUUUUUCCUUAUAUGGGCGUGGGCGUGGCCACGCCCCGGCGGCAUUUAAAGGUACAGCGACCCCCGGAACGACCCCGACCCGGGGGCAGCGGGGGGGGCACCGGGACGGCCCCGGGGGGGUCGGGGGGCACCGGAGGGGCGGGGAGAAGGUUUGGGGGGAGGGGGAGAUCCGGUUUGGGGCGCGCUCCCGGCGUGCACCGGGACGGGACGGGCGGGGGCGUGGCUGGGGCGGAGCGGCGCUACAGGUACGGGGUGGGGGGGGGAAAUUUGGGUGUCGGGACCCCCCCGGUGGGAACGGAGACCCCCCGGUGGGAACGGAAACCCCUCCCCACCUCUCCCGUAGGAGCUGAGCCCUUCACGGGGGACCCCCUCCCCCCGGGGGACCCGAAUCGUUCCCGUGGGAUCCGCCCACCCCCCCCCGUGGGAUCCGUUUCCCGUGGGAUCCCCCCCCCCCCCGUGGGAACCUCCCGGUUUUGGGCUCCGUUCCACCGGACCCGCCCCCCACCGUGA